rnacentral:lncRNA from 1 species
AGUGAGCUAAAUGGAGACUGGGAGUUUGACUCACCAGGGUCAAUCCAUCAGAUCCUAAAAGUGAAAUUAUUCCUCUGAAUCAACUAUAGCUUUAUAUCGACCAGCUGACAGAAUACAUGAAAUGGAGACCUGGAGGGAAGAACAAACUGCCAAUAAGAGAGAGAGAGAGAGACAAAAUGAGUUUCAGCCUGUUCCAUGAUCCAGCUUCAAGUCGAAGGCCAGAGCAGACAACAUUUGGGGGAAAUCUGUUUAGGUUAAGGCGCUUCCUUUUUGCCAUUCCAAAAAUAAACGUGAGUUUCCUUGCCAAAGAUCAACAGGAUUACAUCAACUGCCUUAGGAGAGAAUUGAGAAAAGCUUUUGAGCAGUGAAAAAUUUUAAGGAA